AAGUCGUAACAAGGUAACCGUAGGUGAACCUGCGGUUGGAUCAUUAAACAAAGACCACAGACCGACCCAACAUUUGGGUCCGGGCUGUUAAUGUUAAUGGGGCUGGCCAGCUCUCUGGCCAGUUUUAACCAACCUUUUGUGAACUGUUCCGUCUCUGUCGGGUGGGUAGCUAAAACCUACCUAGCCAGGGUGUUUUCAUACCUGGCAGCCCGUCAAAGGACCCGUCUACGUUGUAUUUAAUUUUUCUUGUCUGACAUUUACCUUGUAUUAAUAUACAAAACAACUUUUGGCAACGGAUCUCUUGGCUCUC
rnacentral:misc_RNA from 1 species